UCAUCAUAUAAUUAUUAUUAUAAUUAUGAGCCCCUGAUAACAUAAAAAGUUAGGUCUCCCUUUUUAGAAAGACGCGGCAACUCUUCGACGACGAUGGAAAUGCUGAAAAAUGACAUUGGUCACCGGGGGAAUGGAGGUUGUUCACGUUUGUUGGCCGUAUGUGCGUGCGUCCUCUUAGCUCUGAUGUCGGCACUACUCACUGUUAUCAUCGUAAGAGAAUAUUCUGCCGGAGAGGAAAUUCACCAGUUACAGAAGCAGGUGGAGCUUCUGGAGCUUCAGCAAGCAGAACUUGAUAGGAUGAAAUCAGAUGCCGGGUAUGUGAAAACUGUGCUUCUGACCAUUUUUGGAGUGUCUGAUCCACCUAAUGAAACAGAUGAGUGGAGAGUGAAGCGAGCAGUCGAUGGUGGCGAUGUUAGCCUUGAUCUUGAUAGCUCUGUUGACAUGACUCUUCGCGGUGAGUUGAUAGGAUGACACGGGACCAUAAUACUUUAUA